UAAAGGAUAAAUUGGUAAAUGAAUAAAAAUAACCCAUCAAAGUUUGUAUUUUCCUCUCGUAAAUUUAUCAAAAGUAGAUAAUCAUUAAAAGAAAAUAGCAUACUUGAGAAAUUGUCUGCACAGGUUGCGGAUGAAUGUCCAGGGUGAUCAUUGCGCCCUCUGCUUUGGGAUUUACAUGUCUAAAGACUUGGCUUUCUAAGGACGUCUGUUUCCUGGAGGUUUAAGGCUUGUUUUUUAGCUGAGAAAAAAAGUUAGUAAAAUAAAUGUAUACAUGCUAAAUGUCCCGUACACAUUUACCCUAAACAAAGACGUCGAAAGUCAAGCUUGUUUAGCCCAUUUGAUUAACUUCAACCAGCUUUAUGCCACAUGUAGACAUAAAGAGAUGUCGCUACUUAGAUGUUCUUUCUGGAUCCCCCUUUCGACCACCUCUCCUCGCUGUUCGUGCAUUUUCAGUGAUUGUUGCUCAAUGGGUGGCCGUUAUAAUCUAGGAUAAUAAUAAAAAUAUAUUUAUAACUGAAAGGCUAAACUUUGAGAGAGAGAAGCAGACAGAGUGGGUGGGAAUCAAACUGCUCUAUUUUAAAACAGACACGAGGGCUCUUUUUUUUUUCUUUUUCUUUAAUCACUCCAUGUGAUUUGUCUUAAUAUCUACGAUCACACACGGAGGGGAAGAUGGAGAUGAGUGGUUAGAGAGACCGCAGACACCGUCCUGGAUAUUAGACGCCCCACGCCCCAUCCGCCUCCCCUCCUCAAGGCUCCCAAAACCCUGACGCAUUACUUCAUGUGUAUUUAUUUUGUAUCGAUUCUAAUACACUUUAUUACGAUGAACCACAUAGGCGUAUUUAACCACACGAGUAUUUAAAGGUGCGCCACUUUAAAGCCGUUUUGGCGCAGGGGGGAAGGCUCACCUGUCUCCUUUUAGGGCUCCCUCCACGUGUGACUGCAUGUUUAUUGGUGCACGCUCAUGUAAAAUCACUUGCUUCUUUCUAAAGUCUCCCAUAAAUGAUGAUGACGGAUGGAGAUGGGUGAUGAUGUAUCAUGAUGUGGGGAAAACGAUGGACAUCAGCAAGGUCCGAGUUAAAAUAAGGAAAUAUCUGUUUAAUCAAUUCUGCAUUAAUUAGAUGGGCAGGCAGGGCAAAUCUCCCCCUAUGCGUCUUUGUGGUGAUGAGGGAAGAUGCCCGGUUUCCUCCCUUAAGACGCAGCCCAGCGCGCGCGUUUGUGUGUGUGUGUGUGUGUGUGUGUGUGUGAGAGUGAGCGCGUGCGUGUGCCUGUGUGGGUGCGUUUGUCUCAUUUUUGCCGAAAGUUCCAAAAGGCUCACUUGGCAGCGCUCACUCAAACUGUGAAAUUAAUUUGGCAAAAAUGCUGGUCGAUGCUGCUGGUGAUGGUGGUAGACUGAAGGUGCGUUAACAAUAAAACUCACACCCUGCGCGUUAUUUCUCCUCCAUUCUUUAUCAUCUUCCUCAUCUCCGUCGCCAUUCUCGCUGCCAUAAUCUUCCUCAUCAUCAUUUCCACCACACAAUGAUCCGCAGCCUACAUAUGCUCCAAAGUUUUCACAGGUAAAAAAGAACAAAAACAAAACAAAACAAAACAAAAAAAACUUGACAAAUCAUGUCAGUUGUGUUUCAGUAUGUCUUUACUAAGUUUUUGUUUCGGGCAUUUUGUAAACACUUUAUAAUACGAAAACACCUUCUGUUUCUCUACAGAUGAACACAAAUAAGGACUGCAUUUUGUUAAACAUCAGUACUUGCUCUCAUUUAACUGGCCUUUUAUGCGGCCCAGUGGUUAAUUUCUUUUCCCUAACAAAUGUACAGUGACCAUCAAAACACAGCCAGGUCAUAAAUAUGAAUUCCCACUAUGGGACUUCAAAAUUGCAAGUUUUUCAACUCACAUUAAAUCAACAGCUUUUGAUUUUUGUGCAUUUGGAUCAAUGACAUUAGAAAAGGCACAAAUGUUUUACAGAACAUGUUUGAAGAGGCAAUUUGGUUAAAAGCUUACUUGCAAAAUCAAGUAAAAACCAACAGUUUACUUAAAAUAACUCCGAUUAUUACUUAGUACCUAUUGUGAUGUCACCAGAGGCAUGUCAGCCUGGGUGAUGUAUUUUGUGGGACAGGAAUGUUUAAUUUUGAUUAAAUAAGGACUUUCAAAAAAAAAGCUUAACAAAUCAACCGUGUUGUAGCAACUGUAUGUAAAUUGGGUUUGGUUAGUUUAAAAAGUGUAGCUUUAAUGCAGACGUUUUGUAGAGUUUUGUUCAACUUAUUUUUAACAGAGUACAGUCUAUAUUUCCUUUCAUGUUCGGUUCACUUAAACCAGACACCAAAAAGAUAAUAAGUGUUUGAACAACUCCUCUCCUGCCGCAUACAGUCUGGAGUCUUUCACCUCCAAUUCGCAGCUCUCUCAGACCUUUUCUCAUGAAGAACACGCCGAAAAGAUAUGCUUUGGAGAACCCCCGCAUCCCCGCUUGAGAUUGCCACAGAUACCCCUCAUCUGACAUUUUCUGGUGUUUGAUGUUUUUUUUUUUCUUUGUUUUUUUUGGGUUGGGGGGGGGGGGUUGCCUUCGUUUCACAGUCUCUAUGUCCAGGAGAUGAGCAGAGAUCAGCGGGGAGCUUGAAAUCCACCCGGAAACAUGCAUCUGCAAAUGCAUACAUGCUGUAAAUGUGCAACUAGAACCCCGAACGCGACCUUCAAGAGAAAUUAAUUUUUAUUUCACCCCCUCCUCAGUGACCCCGCAGCGUCCCGGGACCUCACUUUGGGAACCGGUGAAGCCUGUAUGUCGGACUGUGAUCAUGGGGUUGAAUUAGAUUACAGGGAAAUUACCCUCCACCCUCCCACCCUCUACCUCCACACCCCACUCCGCUCCCUGUCCUCCCCAUCCUCUCUGACUGACCCCUGCAGGUCCCGGGACCCGCGGCUCCGGGGACUCAAGCCAGCCCCCCCUCCACCCUCCCACCCCCCGAACUAAUGAACAGCCAUAACACGUAAGAACUGGUGGCCGCCAAAAGACAGCGGCGUGCGGGCUGCUGUCAGAGCUGGCUGUGCGCACAGAAAUCGCUCAACCCUGUGAGAGGACAAAUCUUCACGGAGGGUCUCCGCAAAGAGAGAGAAAGAGAGACAGAGAUAGGAUGGGUGGGGGGUGUAGAGAUGUGGGGAGCGAAAAGGAAAUCGAUGUGGGGGAGCUACCGCCUGUUGCAGCGAGAUGGCGCUGUUCUGCAUGUUUCACCAGAGCGGUGCUUUCACCGUUUCUUCCUUUUCAGUCGUCUCCAUCUGGAUUUCCGCUUCUUCUUUUUUUUUUUUUUUUCUUUCUCAAACAAAAUAUUUUCCAUUGGAGUUUUUCUUUUAAUUAAUACAUUACUGGGAGAUAGUUUGAUUUUGGAAUUCUAGACACUUUAAUAUGUUUUUAAAGCAUACAAGAAAAAACAAAAAACAAAACUGGAAUUUAAACAUCGACCAUGAAGGGAAAGGUGCAAAUAUUUGUUUGGCUCUAAAAGAUAAAAGGAGCGCAAUUAUCUUCAAAUAUUUCGUUUUGUUUCGUUUUUUCUUCCUGUCUUUCUUUCCUUUUUUUCUUUCUUUCUUCUUUUCUUUCCUUUUUUCUUCCAUCUCCUUCAUUUUUUCUUUGUUUCUUUUUUACUUUCUUUCUCUUUCUUUAUGUCUUUCUUUCUUUCAAAAUAGUUGUUUAUCGAGCUUUAUUGCGACUUUAGGAUAGCCUUUAGAUUAAAAAAAAGUCAUUUUUACUUCUAAUUUAUCUUUUGAAUUUCGAUAAUGAAAUCCUAAAUGAUCAUUACUGUAGCAAUUCUCCUGCAGGACUUCCGCACUGCACGGGCAAGCAUUUAAAGAAACCAACAAAAUUAAAUAUGAUCCAAUAAGUAUACUUUACUUAUAAAGUAUACUUUAUAUGUGUAGUAAUAUCAAACUACAUGCGAUAUUAGUUUUCUUGUAAAUAUGUAAAUGUUCUUUUCAUCCCACUAGCAUAUAUUUUUCUUUUCUUUAUUUAUAUUACAAUUAUUCCUACACUGGAUUUUUUAAAUCUCUUUCUGCACUUAACAUAAAAUAAGCAUAUUUGGUCUAAACAACAAACAAAAAUAAAUAAAUGACCAAUUGCAAGAUUAAAACUCCUAUCAUAAAAAUAAAUAAUAAAGAGGGUAAAUUUGAUUCGAUUUGAAAUCAAAUCAAAUUUGAGGUACGUUGAAAAAUUUGUUUCUGUACCAAAAUUGCACAUAUUUUAAACUAAAAAUCUAAUUACUUCCAAAUUUGCUUGCCAUGUAGGUUUUUUAUGGGAGACUGGAAAGAAGAAGCAGUUGAAUGGAGACAGUUUAUGACGCACAAUGUUGUGGAUUCAGCGAUCAAACUCCCUGCAGCCUUGGUCAGUCCUCUGAACUUUACCACUACAUGUAAACAAGUUGUCAGAGAAUAAUCUUCUCUUCCCCCCCCCCCCCCCCCUUUUUUUCUCUCUUUUUAUUGGAAUGAAAAUUCAAUCUUCCAAGAUCAGAUUAGACGACUUUUUUUUUUUUUUCCUUCUACUUCUCCUCUCCUCUCUCCCGGUUCCUUGUCAUCGCUGGGGCUGGACUUUGGUGGACAAUAAUGCGGCAAUUGUCGAUGCUUUGUGACCCAUAAAAUUUGAGGGUGGCUAUUCUGGCUUUGCGAGGGGAGGCACCGUGCAAGCAAAAGCCCCUGCAACUCUGAGCAGAUCGGCGGAAAAAAAGCAGCUACAAUCAAAAAGAAAAGUGCACGUAUAUGAACAGGUGCCAUUAUGCAGGUAAUUUUGUUAUGAUGUAUGAUGGAGUGUAUUUAAAUCUAACCGCUGUUUGCCCAGAUCACGCAUUAAGGCAUAUUUGCAGAACAAUUUUAGAUGUUGUCCCUUCAAUAAACAAUAUUUUGUGUAAGGCUUCAAAGUGUUUUAAUGUAACAAGAAUUUUGAUUUGGCUUAAUUUGUUUUUAAAGUAAAAGAAAAGGCUGUCUCUGCAAAUUCGAAAGAAAAUAAAUUAACUGACCUCACUCGGAUUUUCGUGUAAAUCGGAGAAUUUGUAACGUAUUUCACUAAAACGUUGUUUUAUUCCGUAAACAUGCAAAAAAUAAAAUAAAAAUAAUGAAUAAAUCUCCAAAUGUGUCCUAUUUGCUGUUGUUUAGUACAAUUUUUCUUGAUGAUUAAUAAAACGCAAUACAUAUCUUGCUGUUGAGGUGUGCAAUACAUUGGAUUUGUCUUUUUUUUUUUUUUUUAACCUUUCCGUGUGCGUGUGUGUGUAUGCACAUAAUAAACACUUGUGCUGCCUGACAGAGGUGCGAAUCUGAGAGCUUUUCCACCAAAUGAAGUGCCAGCAGAAAGAGAAAUAAAGAGAUCUGCAGCUGUCAGGGGUCAGGCAGGGAGAGAUUGCUUCUAGAGAUCUUUUGAAAAAAAUCACACGUUUGAAGGCUUAGAGCUUUGCUGUCUCCGCAUUUCAAGCUCAGAUCAGUGGAAUCAGGGGAGGAAAAAAAAAAGGAAGAACAUGGGUUGGGGAAUUCUGAUGUUGGGAUGGACACGGGAAGAGUGCUGUUUGGAGGUCUGUUUUAUGUACCUGAUCCUUUAGUGAGGGGAAGAAAGACAAGCCGAGUGUUUUGUUCUGUGUGUUGGAACAACAGUGUUUCUAAUGUCCGGGUGUGUAAAAAAGAAUCCUGUGUGCAGAAAUCUGCUCUGCUGCCGCCUCAAAUUUGAAGCGAGUCUCGACAGAAGAGCUAAAAGAAGCAACUCUGGACCCUUAAGUGUUUCGCAAUUUCUGUUUUGACGUUAUAGAAUAAUAAUUUUUAAAAAAUGAUAGUUUUUGCUCUAUUGCCAUUCUGAAUUUGAUCCCUGUUAAGUAAUAGAAAUGCAAAUAAAUGACUCCAGAAUUAGUUGAAAUGCGGAACUCUGAGUCCAACUUUAUUUUGUUGAGAUGAGGAGCGACUUCUGGUCCUUUUGUGGUUCAUGAUCGAAGCAGAACCGCAGUUUGGUCGAUAAUAUAGAGGGGGCACAGUUGGUGAGGUUUUGACAAAUCGAUCGAACAUUUAAUCAUGUAUUUCAAUAUUCCAGACAAUUUAAUUAUCCGUUAUGAUCAUAAAACUUAAGGAAAUAUUGGUAAGUAUCGGGAGUCAUAAAAAAAAACCAACAAAAAAAACUGUUUUGUUGAUAUUUAUUACUUUGAAGAAACUUCAUGAAAAUAAUGCAUGGUUGUAGGUGUAGAUUUUAAAUGGAAGGGUGUCUCGAUGUGAAGUCUGAAAAUGAUGAUGUUUGGGAGUUACCUUAGAAAUGAGAAAGAAAUCAAAACUUAAAUGUUUAAAAAUGCAUUUUUCAUUCUGCUGGCGUGCAAAAUAAAACUUCAUCUUAGACA